CUGAAGAAGAAAGGGUGGGGGCUUUCCAGCUUAGAGUAGAGCAUGUGUGUAACUAGAUGUGUUUUCUUCCCCUUUCCAGAGAGUCCCAUAUGGAAGGCAAUGGAUGCUAAGAAUAGAAUGGGGCCUUUUAAAAUUAAACUCGAGGGUGAAGGGGGAGACAGUGACUUUUUUUUUUAGUAUAGUAAGUAGAGGAGUUAUACUACCGGGGGUUCAUCUCUGCAGUGCAAAGUUGUAGGUUUUUUUGGUUUGUUUUAUUUCAUUUUUUUUUUUUAGAAAUGGGGUCUUGCUAUGUUGCCCAGGCUGGAGUGCAGUGGCUCUUCACAGGUGCCAUCAUAGCCCAUGACUGCUCCGAAUUCCUGGCCUCAAGUGAUCCUCCUGCCUCAGUCUUACAAGUAGCUGGGACUACAGACAUGCACCAUCAUCAUGUCCAGGAUCAGACGAGGUGCAGGAGUUGCUGGCACAAUGAUGAGUAGAAAUGCCAGCUGAUUUGGAAGAGUCCCGGGCCCUUGAAGAGGACUGAAUUAGAGGUCAGAAAACAUAACUUUUGUUGCUAGCACUGCUAUUUCCAUGCUGUGGUCUUGGACAAGUCAUGUAAACCCUCUGAAGCACUCUUUGUACUUUCUAAUUGGGAUGGGCUCUGUGAUGCACUCAGGAAUCCUCUCAGAAAUGAAUUGUUUACUACUCUAGCUUCUGGAAGUUCUCCUGGAAGAUGUCCCUCAGCUUGGAGCCCUCUUUAGGGAUGGCCUCAGUUGAAGCAAACUGCCUUUUCCCAGGUCUGCCUCCUUCUAGGGCAACCUAUAAUACUGAUUCAUUCAUGUAGGGGUAGAAAGGCCCAGCCUCCUUGCCCCAGCCAGGGACAAUUUUGAAGGGUCAGCCUGGGCCAGAUGUCCUUGUGGCCCUGAUGGAGGCCUUUGUUGUAACUGUCACAAUUCACCUUCUCCCUCUGCCCAAUCCUGCUUCCUUCUUCCUUCCUUCCACAGGUGUUGAUUCUGAGAGCACUCCCUAGUAAAUGGCUGAUGUGCAAAUAUCUGUCCCAGGAAACCUAAUUUGGGAUAGCGAUAAUAAUAAUGCUAGUCAUGAUAACAGCAGCUACCAUUUAUUGCAUGCUGACUAUAGGUCAGGCAACAUACCAAGUCUUGUAUAAACAUCAUUCUGUUUUCUCUGCAAAACUGUCCCAUCAGGUAGGAAUUAUCAUCUCAUUUUACAGGUGAGAAAUAGUUUUAUGAACUUAAGAGAAAACAAUAUAUGUAAAUGUGCUUUGAUUAUUACAAAAUAGUAUUACUUCUAUUUAUAAAUUUCAACCAAAGAGAGCUUCUUAAGCUCUGCAGCAGUACUCUCUAGAUGAAAGCCUUCCGACUAGCUCUCAGUGGCAGAGAAGGCAGCUCUUCUCUCAUCCUCUGCUGCCUGCCCCAUUCAGCCAACUCAAAGGGAACCCAGGAGGCUGCUUGGGCCCUAGCCUGUGCCUCUUUACCAAUGUCCUGUAUAUUGUGAUAUCACUGUCUUUUUUUUUUUUUAAACAAAUGUGUUUUGCUUGGAAUUCUGGUGGCAUUUUUUUUUUCUAAAUCCAGAAAAUACCUUUGCAUAGGAAGAAAAACAGCAUCAACUCUCUUUGUCUCUGUAUUCUCAGCCUUUCAUGGUCUACAUUACAGCUCAUAUAUUUACUCACCCACUGCACACCUUUCUAGCCAUCUAUCAUACAUGAGGAAGUGUGUCCAGCACAAGAGGUAACCAUAAAGAAGACCAGGCUGCAGUCCUUGCUCUCAAGAGGGUUUUGCCCUAGGUGCUCUGUCCCAGACCUUGGCUGCAGUGUCUUCUUCGUAUAGCCCAGUCUUCAUGCCUCAGUUCCAUCAGUGCAUCCAAAGGUGGCAACGAAGGCCCCCUUUCCCACGGCCUACAGCCUGAAGUUCUUCCUAUUUUGAAGGACUAAACUCACCCUAGAGUGAGAGGAUCCCUGAAUUAAGCUAAACAUACUUCUCGACUGAGAAUAUCCAUCUUGGCUUUUGCUUAAACCGGUGUUAAAGUUUUCUACCAUUUCCCACCAAAUUCAGUGACAUUCACCCUAAGAAAGUUAAACUCUUGCUUAAAAGUAAUUUUUAAAAUUCCCUUUCAAAUUAACCACCGACAGGCUCUCUGCCAAUAACUGUGUUUAUUUUUUAGAAAAUCAAUUGUACUCUCAACAAAAGACUCAUCCUUUUCAGUCAAUAUUCCUCCAUUACAAACAGAUAAUGUUUAUUGUAGCAACUUCAGGGAUCACAGUCCAUUUCUUUCAUGGGGUUACCUGCAGCCAAUCUAAAUAGCAGGUGUUUGGAACAUCAUCUCCCGAAACACUAACAGAUUUCAACUUUAUCAUGUUUACUAGUAAGUGGAUGUGUGGGGAAGACUGGGAUUUUCUGCCUUCUUGCAGCCCUAGGACAAAGGUACUGACUAUGGGCAGUGUUUGCUGACUUAGCCCUGCACUGUCUGUUAAUACUGCCCAAUGAUUCCAGCUCAGGAUAGUCUGUGGUAUGUGCAAAGCAGUCAUUGUUCUUGGGACAAGGGAAGCCUGAGAAAAUGUGGAUACUGGAUUUUGCAUCUGUAUGGUGUAAGAGACAUGGAAAGCUGUGACGAUGUUUAAAAAGAAUCAUCAUAUGAAUCUUGUUUACUUCCGAAUUCAUUUAUUCAUUAAACACACUUUUAUUCAGCCCCUGCUAGGUUCCAAGCACUGUUCUGGUAUAGAUAGAAAGACAGGCAGGCAGCCCUUCUGAAGCCUGCAGUCCAGGGUCAAAAGCAAAGAAACAAUACACUAAGAAAGCAAUAUAUAAUUGAGAUGUAUAUUAUGAAGCAAAUGAAAAAAUGAUCAAGAAUUAAGGUGGGUGUGGUUUGGGGACAUCAGGAACCAUUUAGACUGGUUUAUUACUGAAGGCUUUUUAAAGUAGAUGAUCUUUUUUAGGCUUACUUUUCUCAUUUCCUUCAUCACUGCUUAUUGAGUUACUUAUUCAAAUAUUUGCCCUCGUUGGUCUGUAAGCUCUAUGAACACAGGGACUUUCGCUGGUGACUGUUGUAGUCACUAGUGCAUUUUUAUGCACCACGCAUGCUUGGCACACAGUAAGUCUCUGUAUUUGCAGAAUAACAAAUGAAUGAAUUAGACAAUAGCUCCAUCCCAAACAUGCAUAUGCACAUACACACACGGAAGCAGUAGAAGUGAGGAGGGACAGCAUUUUUAGAGCUAAACAGGAUAACAUCCUGUCCUCCUUAACAGGAAGGAUCCUGGAGCCAGUGCUAGGAAAUCUCUGAGCUUAUAAGAAAUGGAUCCACAUCAUUUGUAAAACUGGGAUUAUCUGAUAGGAGAUGAAAGGUUUUGUCCAUAGGACUCAAGAAGUAAUAAAUCUAUAUUCUUUGAAGAUUAAGGUAGGACAUUUGUUAGGCCACUUGCUGCUAGAUGAGGCAAGAUUGGAUUUUUGUGGUCUCCUCUGGAAGAUGCCCUCAUUGUAAGCUACUGGAGGCUGGGUUUAUUUGCCCCGGGAACAUGUAACACAGUGAUAAUCUCCCAUGGUUCUAGAAAGGCUGAAAGCUAUAGACAGGUGUUUGAUUCACUAAUCCAUCUCCUAUGGCUUACUAUUGAUUGAAUUUGGGUAAUGGUGAGAAGGAGACUUUACCAUCCUGCAGUAAAUUUUGUUAUGUCCUGGAAGGCAUCACUGUCUCUUUUCAGUGAAAUCGUCUGAACAAUUGGUCUUUUUUUUGGUUACCUCUUGUGCUGGGUACACUUCCUCAUGUAUGAUAGAUGGCCUCAGUGCAUCUUCCUUUCUUU
rnacentral:lncRNA from 1 species